rnacentral:lncRNA from 1 species
GGUUGCGAUCAUACAAGCACUAAUGCACGAGAUCCCAUCAGACCUCCGCAGCUAAGCAUGCUUGGGCGAGAGUAGUACUAGGAUGGGUGACCCCCUGGGAAGUUCUCGUGUUGCAACCCCCUUUUUUUCGAUUUUUGGUUUAUUUUAUUUACCAGUCGUUGUAUCUUUGGCGUAGCAUGAGAGCGGCCGAUGCGCGUGCGCGCACGGGGGGCCCGGGGCGCGUGACGUAGGCCACACAUGAGGGCAUAGGUGCGAAUGGGAUCAAGACGUGGAAAGUUAUAAAGGAAUAAGGAGAAGGUAUUCUUUUGGUUGCGAUCAUACAAGCACUAAUGCACCAGAUCCCAUCAGACCUCCGCAGCUAAGCAUGCUUGGGCGAGAGUAGUACUAGGAUGGGUGACCCCCUGGGAAGUCCUCGUGUUGCAACCCC